rnacentral:rRNA from 1 species
GAAUAUGGGGGGACCAUCCUCCAAGGCUAAAUACUCCUGACUGACCGAUAGUGAACCAGUACCGUGAGGGAAAGGCGAAAAGAACCCCGGCGAGGGGAGUGAAAAAGAACCUGAAACCGUGUACGUACAAGCAGUGGGAGCCCCACCACCAAAGCAUUCUCUGGUGUUGAAGGCCCUGCAAAGCAGCAUCGCGGUGGCGGAGCGUCGUUUGCGACGCCCAACACACAAAACAAGCGGUGAAUGCUUUGGGGUGGGGUGACUGCGUACCUUUUGUAUAAUGGGUCAGCGACUUAUAUUCUGUAGCAAGGUUAACCGAAUAGGGGAGCCGGAGGGAAACCGAGUCUUAAUUGGGCGUUAAGUUGCAGGGUAUAGACCCGAAACCCGGUGAUCUAGCCAUGGGCAGGUUGAAGGUUGGGUAACACUAACUGGAGGACCGAACCGACUAAUGUUGAAAAAUUAGCGGAU